GCCAGGCGUGGUAUUACACACCUGUAGUCCAAGCUCCUUGGGAGGUUGAAGCAGGAGGAUUGCUGGAGCCCAGGAGUUCUAGACUGGAGUGUGCUGUUCCGAUCCGGUGUCUUCACUAAACUCAGUAUCAAUAUGGUGACCUCCAGGGAGCCAGGGACCACCAGGUUUCCUAAGGACAGGUGUACUGGCCCAGGUCAGAAAUGGAGCAGGUCAGAGCUCCCGUGCUGAUCAGUAAUGGACUCGGGCCUGUGAAGAGCCACUGCACUCCAGCAUGGGCAACAUCACAAGACCCUGUCUCUU
ensembl:misc_RNA Metazoa_SRP Metazoan signal recognition particle RNA